UGGCUGAGUGGUAAAGCGCUUAGCUUCCGAACUGGGAGUCUCAGGUUCAAAUCCUGG
rnacentral:tRNA from 1 species